AUUGAACGCUGGCGGCAUGCCUAACACAUGCAAGUCGAACGAAGGCUUCGGCCUUAGUGGCGCACGGGUGCGUAACGCGUGGGAACCUGCCCCUCGGUUCGGAAUAACAGUUAGAAAUGACUGCUAAUACCGGAUGAUGACUUCGGUCCAAAGAUUUAUCGCCGAGGGAUGGGCCCGCGUAGGAUUAGCUAGUUGGUGGGGUAAAGGCCUACCAAGGCGACGAUCCUUAGCUGGUCUGAGAGGAUGAUCAGCCACACUGGGACUGAGACACGGCCCAGACUCCUACGGGAGGCAGCAGUGGGGAAUAUUGGACAAUGGGCGAAAGCCUGAUCCAGCAAUGCCGCGUGAGUGAUGAAGGCCUUAGGGUUGUAAAGCUCUUUUACCAGGGAUGAUAAUGACAGUACCUGGAGAAUAAGCUCCGGCUAACUCCGUGCCAGCAGCCGCGGUA
rnacentral:rRNA from 1 species